UACGUAGGGUGCGAGCGUUGUCCGGAAUUAUUGGGCGUAAAGAGCUCGUAGGCGGUUCGGUAAGUCGGAUGUGAAAUCUCCACGCUCAACGUGGAGGGGCCAUUCGAUACUGCCGUGACUCGAGUCCGGUAGGGGAGUGUGGAAUUCCCGGUGUAGCGGUGAAAUGCGCAGAGAUCGGGAGGAACACCCGUAGCGAAGGCGGCACUCUGGGCCGGAACUGACGCUGAGGAGCGAAAGCGUGGGUAGCAAACAGG
rnacentral:rRNA from 1 species